rnacentral:misc_RNA from 1 species
AUUUAAUUAUUUUUUCUUUUGAGAUGCAAUGCUUGCUAUUCAACCUGUGACCUUCACCUAAGAUUGUCAUAAGUUUACCUACCAGAAGCAUGUUUGGUUCUUAUACCAAUAAUCUUGCUUAACCCAUAAUAGCAUCAAUCACUUCUUGGCAAGUGUAUUUCCCGCUUUGAGUUUGAUGAGAUUUCAUUAGAAUCUUGGAGCAUGACAUUCAUGCUAGUUAUUACCAGUAUGCAAACUAAGAGAAAUUGAACCAAGAAAAUGGAGAGAGGGAGAAGAAUGAAAGAGAGAAUGAGAUCAGAAAAGAAAGAGAAUGAAAUCGUUAUUCAUAUCACACACAUUACAA